rnacentral:rRNA from 1 species
AACGAACGCUGGCGGCAGGCUUAACACAUGCAAGUCGAACGGGUGUAGCAAUACAUCAGUGGCAGACGGGUGAGUAACACGUGGGAACCUUCCUAGGGGUACGGAACAACUCAGGGAAACUUGAGCUAAUACCGUAUACGUCCGUGAGGAGAAAGAUUUAUCGCCCUUAGACGGGCCCGCGGCGGAUUAGGUAGUUGGUGGGGUAACGGCCUACCAAGCCUACGAUCCGUAGCUGAUCUUAGAGGAUGAUCAGCCACACUGGGACUGAGACACGGCCCAGACUCCUACGGGAGGCAGCAGUGGGGAAUCUUGGACAAUGGGCGCAAGCCUGAUCCAGCCAUGCCGCGUGAGUGAAGAAGGCCUUAGGGUUGUAAAGCUCUUUUACCAGGGACGAUAAUGACGGUACCUGGAGAAUAAGCCCCGGCAAACUUCGUGCCAGCAGCCGCAGUAAGAC